rnacentral:sRNA from 1 species
AGACCCAUCUCUGGCAAUAAGCUGUUUCCUUCUUAUUGACAGGGGGAUGACAGGGGGUGACCCAGCACCCCAAGGCUAUGAGAGGGAAUCCCAGGUGGGACUCAGUACCUUGGUUCUCAAGGGGUUGUGUGUGGGGGUGUGUGACGUUGCUGCCUUGCCACAGAGCUUCUAGAAGCCAGGGCCCUCACUCUGCAGUGUCAGCUCAGCUCAUAGUCAGUGGUCAGUGAAUAGCUGGACUGAAGCUGGCCUCAGACAACAGUGCAAAGUAGGUAGUCAACCAGGGAGUGUGUUGAAUCAGGUCUUUAUUACCAGGAGGAAGCACACAGGAGGUGCGGGGAGGACGUUUGUGGAAUGGAUAAAUAAAAGCAUGCUCUUUGAGGGAAUAAAGAAGCAGAGAAACUGAAAAGAAUCUAGGGAAGAUGGACAUAAAUCUCCACCGAGUGCCACCAAGGCUCUGUAGUCGAGGCCUCUGAAAAGACGCUGCAGAGGCUGAGGGGCCAUUUGUCACAGUAGGGACAGGCUCAAGGGCCAAGAAGCAAGGGUGUGAUGGAACCUCGUUCAUCAUUUUCACAUUAUCCUGGCGGCAAUGGAGAGGAGCCCACGAGUGCACAGCCAAGCUGCCCCCCACCUGACAGAAUGAGUGCCAGGCUGGGGUGGGGAAGGACCCUGAGGAAGUGCAGGCUGGGCUGGGGGAGUAGGCAGGCAUCUCAGUGCCCACCUCAUGCCCUUAGUGCUGCAGUAUUGUUUUCAUUUAGCCCAGUAUGAGUCCCCUGGGCCCUGUUCCAAUGCCACUUCCUACAGGAAGCCCUCCCAGAUCCGCCAAGCCUGAUCCAUAGAAAAUGUCAAUCUGCAGUCAGAUAUCAGUCUUCUGAGUCUUUGAUCAGCAGGUAUCUCCUUGCAAAGCCUGCAAGCUCCAUGGGAGCAGGGGCUGUGUCUGGUGUGGUCCCAGUGGGGCCCCUGUGCCUGGUUGGGAACUCAGCCCUGGGGGAGGCACCAUAUCAUGCUCUUGGCCAUGUCUGCCCUUUGCAGGCACUCUGGACCUGGCACCCGGCAGGUGCCUGGUGUGUAGACAUCCCACGGGCCGAACCUUGGGUAGACCCCAAGCAAGAGCCAAGGGCGGAGCCAGAGCUGGCCACAAGGAGAACUUCUGCCUAGAGAAGUCUGACUGUGAGCUGAGGAGCCUGACCUGACCCUGGAGGCAUUCUUUGGGUCUGGGCUGCGCCAUGGUCCCCGCUGAUGAACCAGGCGGAGGGCACCCAUGCCCCAGCAGAUCGAUGCACAGCAACCUGCCUGCCACACCCAGGAAGCUGGGGGAGGCCCCUGCACCCCCCACCCCACCACCAUUUGAAGGACCGAGACUGAUAUCCAGGGGGCCAGUCCUGCUGCAGAUGGACAGGCCUUCACAUGGACCCUGGGGAGGACCCUGUGACUCA